rnacentral:rRNA from 1 species
GAUGAACGCUGGCGGCGUGCCUAAUACAUGCAAGUCGAGCGAACAGACGAGGAGCUUGCUCCUCUGACGUUAGCGGCGGACGGGUGAGUAACACGUGGAUAACCUACCUAUAAGACUGGGAUAACUUCGGGAAACCGGAGCUAAUACCGGAUAAUAUAUUGAACCGCAUGGUUCAAUAGUGAAAGACGGUUUUGCUGUCACUUAUAGAUGGAUCCGCGCCGCAUUAGCUAGUUGGUAAGGUAACGGCUUACCAAGGCAACGAUGCGUAGCCGACCUGAGAGGGUGAUCGGCCACACUGAAACUGAGACACGGUCCAGACUCCUACGGGAGGCAGCAGUAGGGAAUCUUCCGCAAUGGGCGAAAGCUUGACGGAGCAACGCCGCGUGAGUGAUGAAGGUCUUCGGAUCGUAAAACUCUGUUAUUAGGGAAGAACAAAUGUGUAAGUAACUAUGCACGUCUUGACGGUACCUAAUCAGAAAGCCACGGCUAACUACGUG